GCGCUGAAGCGGGGGUACCGGCGCCAUCGACCGGUUGAGACAGUCCCUUCGAACCUGAUGCGGGUGAUGCCGCCGUAGGGAAGCUUCGCCGGGAUCGCC
rnacentral:ncRNA from 2 species